rnacentral:rRNA from 1 species
AUGGCAUCUCUCCUAUACCUCGCUACACCGGAGGUGGGCGAGGAGGCGGAGGCGUAUGCAGCCUCGCCAGCGGGGAGUGCCCCCGUAGCUGAAAGAUUCAUGCUCAAAAGCUCCGCCCCUGCUACCAAAGGAACAGCCGGCGUGCUCUUCAGGCCGUCAGGCGGAGGCGUUGUCAUCCACGCUAUGAACGUUAGCGUUGCAGCUGUACCUAGCUUCAGCAGAGAGAACCUCCAUAGCUUCUUCAACAAUCAACGCCAGCUAACAACCAUAGCCACCAGCUACAGCUCCAGGCAACGAGAGAGACGAAGGGAAGUUCAAAAAAAAAAAAAGAGAGAGAGACGAAGGGUAGCAACUUAA